rnacentral:rRNA from 1 species
ACUCCUACGGGAGGCAGCAGUGGGGAAUAUUGCACAAUGGGCGCAAGCCUGAUGCAGCGACGCCGCGUGGGAUGGACGGCCUCGGGUUGGUUAAACCUCUUUCACCAGGGACGAAGCGCAGUGACGGUACCUGGAGAAGAAGCACCGGCCAACUACGUGCCAGCAGCCGCGGUAAUACGUAGGGUGCGAGCGUUGUCCGGAAUUA